UACGGAGGGAGCUAGCGUUAUUCGGAAUUACUGGGCUUAAAGGGUGCGUAGGCGGCGCGGAAAGUUGGAUGUGAAAUCCCACGGCUCGACCGUGGAACUGCGCCCGAUACUGCAUGGCUUGAGGGAGACAGAGGUAAGCGGAACUGAUGGUGGAGCGGUGAAAUGCGUUGAUAUCAUCAGGAACACCGGUGGCGAAAGCGGCUUACUGGGUCUCUUCUGACGCUGAGGCACGAAAGCUAGGGUAGCGAACGGG
rnacentral:rRNA from 1 species